GGGGACGCGCGGGUUCGACAGGGGCGUUCCGUAGCGGAUUGCAAGCCGAGGAUGCUAUCUCCCUCGUAAAUCCGGUAGCAAAAACAACUGGCGAACGUGAAUUCGCUCUAGCCGCCUAAAGCGGCUUCGUCUGCUCUCUGGUAUUCCUGGAGUCGGAGAGACCAGGCGCCAUAAAUCCGGGAUGCGGACCGCCCCACGCCGGUAACGGCGGCCAAAGAAAAACCGGCUGUCCCCACAGAGGCUCCGUCGGUGGUGCCUCCAAGGGGCGAGGAACAAACCACCGAAUAAGCUUGUAGUACAUCCGACCUAUGGUCUCUUCUGGACGGGGAGUUCAACUCUCCCCCGUCUCCACCA
rnacentral:tmRNA from 2 species